GACGAACCGUGCGAACGUUGUUCGGAAUCACUGGGCUUAAAGGGCGCGUAGGCGGGUGUGCAAGUCUGCGGUGAAAGCCUCCAGCUUAACUGGAGAAGUGCCGUGGAUACUGCAUAUCUUGAGGAGGGUAGGGGCAUCUGGAACGGUCGGUGGAGCGGUGAAAUGCGUUGAUAUCGACCGGAACUCCGGUGGCGAAGGCGAGGUGCUGGACCCUUUCUGACGCUGAGGCGCGAAAGCCAGGGGAGCAAACGGG
rnacentral:rRNA from 1 species